AUCCUUUCAUAGUUCAUGAGCAUGAUGAUUGAGUUUUCACAAGCCUAUGUGAGAUGCAUCUCCCUCAACCUUUAUUACAAUGUUGACACAUUAUCCAUCAGGUA